rnacentral:rRNA from 1 species
GAUGAACGCUAGCGAUAGGCUUAACACAUGCAAGUCGAGGGGCAGCGAGGGUAGCAAUCCCUUUUGGCGACCGGCGCACGGGUGAGUAACGCGUAUGUAACCUGCCCGCAACAGGGGGAUAACCCGGCGAAAGUCGGACUAAUACCGCAUAAAACAGGGUUCCCGCCUGGGAAUAUUUGUUAAAGAUUUCUCGGUUGCGGAUGGGCAUGCGUACCAUUAGGUAGUUGGUGAGGUAACGGCUCACCAAGGCUUCGAUGGUUAGGGGUUCGGAGAGGAAGGUACCCCCAAACGGAACUCGGAACCGGACCAGACUCGUACGGGAGGCAGCAGUAAGGUAUACUGGGGGAUGAACGAGAGCCGGAACAAGCCAAGUCGCGUGAAGGAUGACUGCCAUCUUGAUUGUAAACUUCUUGUACAAGACAAUAAAAUGAGAUACGUGUAUCUUAUUGAAUGUACCUGGGCAAUAAGCAUCGGCUAACUACGUG